rnacentral:rRNA from 1 species
ACGCUCGACACCUACGGGAGGAGCAGUGGGGAAUAUUGCACAAUGGGGGAAACCCUGAUGCAGCGACGCCGCGUGAGCGAAGAAGUAUUUCGGUAUGUAAAGCUCUAUCAGCAGGGAAGAAACUGACGGUACCUGACUAAGAAGCACCGGCUAAAUACGUGCCAGCAGCCACGGUAAUCUGAGCGGGCUGGCAAGGC